rnacentral:lncRNA from 1 species
GGUGUAAGAAACUCCACCACAUAGGUCUUGGAAGAGAAAGAGGACUCCACAAAGGAAGAAGAAAGGGAGUAUCCCGACUUACAGAUAGAAAACCAGCAAGGAGGUCUCAAGGAUGGAAUUGUCAAUUGUUUCAAAUGCUGCUUAGAGGUCCAGUGUAUUUCUUUCAUUACAAUUCUAUUAUGCAAACUUUAGCAAGUAUGUCACAAUAUUCAUUCAAACAAAUUUGUAUCUACAUGCUAGGCAUUCUUCUAGGUCCUGGAGCUAAAGCAGGUAAUAAAGCAGACUUGCUCUGUGUAAGGCAGAUUAAAAUAUUUCAAUAAGACUGAGGUAAGACAGAGUACUCUCUUUCUAUAGUUGGAAAAUCAGCUUCCUUUUGUUUCAGCUAAUUUUGACCAUCUUAAUAAAUAAUAUCAAGUUUGCAUUUUGUUUUCUUCCCCAAAAGGUAACAUGAGAGACCUUGUCAAAUGCUAUAUUGCAAUCUGUGAUGGUAAUAUUGUCAACUUGACUGGAUUGAAGGAUGCAAAGUGUUGUUUCUGGGUAUGUCUGUGAGGGUGUUGCCAGAGGAGAUUAACAGUUGAGUCAAUGGACUGGGAGAGAGAGACCAACCCUCAAUCUGAAUGGGUACCAUCCAAUUGGUUGCCAGGAUGGCUAGAAAAAGCAAGCAGAAGGUGGAAUUAGCUGACCUGCUGAGUCUUCCAGCCUUCAUCUUUCUCCCCUACUGGAUGCUUCCUGCGCUUGCACAUCAUACUCCACGUUCUUCAGAUUUUGGACUCUUAGAAUUUUACCAGUGGUUUGCCAGGGGCUCUGGGAUCUUCAGCCACAGACUGAAGGCUGCACUGUUGGCUUUCCUACUUUUGAGGUUUUGUGACUCAGACUGAGCCACUACUGGCGUCCUUGCUCCUCAGCUUGCAGACAGACGGCCUAUGGUAGGACUACACCUUGUGAUCGUAUCCUUUGGCAGCCCUUCUCAAGGACCUCUGUGAGACAAAAUCAGAAAUGGCUUCCCUGGGGACCAAGAGAGCCCACAAGCCUCUUCCUGCUGCUUCUUCUACCCCUGUAUUUUGUUUGACUCUCUAAAUUUGUCUCAGCUCCAGCCUGCAGGAUUCCCUUUGGCAUUUAUCCCAAGGCAAGUCUUGUGAUAAUGAACUCUCAGCUUUUGUUCAUCUGGGAAUGUUUUAAUUUCUCCUUCACUUUUGAAAUAAAGUUCUGCUGGAUAUAGAAUUCUUGGUUGACAGAUUUUUUUUUUCCUUUUAGCUCUCUGAAUAUAUCAGCCCACUGCCUUCUAUCCUCCAAAAUUUCUGAUGAAAAAUCUACUAAUAAUGUAUUGAAGAUCUGUUAUAUGUGAGGAGUCACUUCUCUCUUUCUGCUUUCAUGGUUCUUUGUCUUUCAGCAGUUUGAUCAUCAUGUGUCUCACCAUAGGGCUUUUUAUCUUCAUUGUACUUAGAGUUGGUUGAGUUUCUUGGGUGUUUAUAUCUUUCAUCAGGCUUGAAGUUUCACCUACCACUUCAACUAUUCUGUAUGCCCCUUUGGCUCUUUCUCUCUCUUCUUCCUGGAACUUAUUAUUAGUAAAUUGGUCUGCUUAAUGUUGGCCUACAGGUCCCUUAGCCUCUGUUCACUUUCCUUCUGUCUUUUUUGCUUUCCUGUUGCUCAGACUAAGUAAUUUCUACUGUUCCAACUUUAGGUUUGCUGAUCCUUUUCUCUGCCUGUUCAAAUAUGCCUAUGGACCUCUUCUAGUAAAUUUUUCAUUUCAGUUAUUGUACUUUUUAG